rnacentral:rRNA from 1 species
CAUCGGAACGUACCUUUCAGUGGGGGAUAACGUAGCGAAAGUUACGCUAAUACCGCAUAUUCUGUGAGCAGGAAAGCAGGGGAUCGCAAGACCUUGCGCUGAUGGAGCGGCCGAUGUCAGAUUAGCUAGUUGGUGGGGUAAAGGCUCACCAAGGCGACGAUCUGUAGCGGGUCUUAGAGGAUGAUCCGCCACACUGGAACUGAGACACGGUCCAGACUCCUACGGGAGGCAGCAGUGGGGAAUUUUGGACAAUGGGCGCAAGCCUGAUCCAGCCAUGCCGCGUGAGUGAAGAAGGCCUUCGGGUUGUAAAGCUCUUUCGGCCGGGAAAAAAUCGCUUGGGUUAAUACCCUAAGUGGAUGAUGGUACCGGAAUAAGAAGCACCGGCUAACUACGUGCCAGCAGCCGCGGUAAUACGUAGGGUGCGAGCGUUAAUCGGAAUUACUGGGCGUAAAGCGUGCGCAGGCGGUUUUGUAAGACAGGCGUGAAAUCCCCGGGCUCAACCUGGGAACUGCGUUUGUGACUGCAAGGCUAGAGUAUGGCAGAGGGGGGUGGAAUUCCACGUGUAGCAGUGAAAUGCGUAGAGAUGUGGAGGAACACCAAUGGCGAAGGCAGCCCCCUGGGCCAAUACUGACGCUCAUGCACGAAAGCGUGGGGAGCAAACAGGAUUAGAUACCCUGGUAGUCCACGCCCUAAACGACGUCAACUAGGUGUUGGGUGGGUAAAACCAUUUGGCACCGUAGCUAACGCGUGAAGUUGACCGCCUGGGGAGUACGGCCGCAAGGUUAAAACUCAAAGGAAUUGACGGGGACCCGCACAAGCGGUGGAUGAUGUGGAUUAAUUCGAUGCAACGCGAAAAACCUUACCUACCCUUGACAUGCCAGGAACUUGCCAGAGAUGGCUUGGUGCCCGAAAGGGAGCCUGGACACAGGUGCUGCAUGGCUGUCGUCAGCUCGUGUCGUGAGAUGUUGGGUUAAGUCCCGCAACGAGCGCAACCCUUGUCGUUAAUUGCCAUCAUUUAGUUGGGCACUUUAACGAGACUGCCGGUGACAAACCGGAGGAAGGUGGGGAUGACGUCAAGUCCUCAUGGCCCUUAUGGGUAGGGCUUCACACGUCAUACAAUGGUCGGUACAAGGGGUUGCCAAGCCGCGAGGCGGAGCCAAUCCCAGAAAGCCGAUCGUAGCCCGGAUCGCAGGCUGCAACUCGCCUGCGUGAAGUCGGAAUCGCUAGUAAUCGUGGAUCAGCAUGUCACGGUGAAUACGUUCCCGGGUCUUGUACACACCGCCCGUCACACCAUGGGAGCGGGUUCCGCCAGAAGUAGGUAGCCUAACCGCAAGGAGGGCGCUUACCACGGCGGGGUUCGUGACUGGGGUGAAGUCGUAACAAGGUA